rnacentral:lncRNA from 1 species
AUCACCCAGAUCUGCAGUCUACUUUAUGAGACCAAGAUAUCAACUUCUUGUGGCCAUGCUAUGGAGAUUGCACAAUGGACCUAUUGCUUCAAAGGAGAGUCACACAACACUCCCCAGCCACUGUGUUGACAGCCCUGGGCUGGAGGAAAGGCAGCAGUCUUCACAGAGCUCACUUUACGGCUGGGCUCACCCUUCACCCCAAGACAGCUUUGAUCACUGGGAAGUUUCCACAAACACAGAAUGAAUGAGGAAGAAGGUGAUUAUAUUUUCGGUGUGAUCCACGUGGACGAGAGGUGUUGCAUGUUUUUACAAAUUGAAGAUCUGUGACAACCCUGGGUCAAGCAAGUCUAUCAGUGCCAUUCUUCCAACAUAGGUGUAUAUGCUGGAGCAGCUGUACUUAAGUCCAGAAAUAAGAAGAUAUUUGAUCUGAGGACUCAGGAGAGAGCAUGGCUGCUGCAUAGAUGGUGCCUUCCAUCGCUUGACAUAGGGAAGCCCAGCCAAAGCCUGUGUCUUGGGCAGCCGGGGAGCUCUCAGGAUGGCUUGAAAUCUCCCACAUGGCCUGGGCCUGUUCUCCUUCCCCUCCAGCUCUCCUGGGUGCAGUCAAAGCUUCACUCCCUACACCCUACUGAACUAUCAGCUGACUGAUUCCCACUUGUCCAUGCCCCAGGACCCCACAGAAGCUCCACAUGCUUCCACAAGCUGAUGCACCAGUUCCAAGAGGAGGAAGAAAAGCUGGCACUCAGCCUUUAUUUCUCCCCAAACACCACAGUCAUUCAAUUCUGAAAAAAAAAAAAAAAAAAAAACCCAUUGCUUUGAAAAACAUAAAAUGAGAUCUAUCAAACAGCAUCUUGUAUUUUAAAGUGGAAAGAAUGGACUUUGGAAUCAUCUUUGGCAGCUAAUAGGCUGGGACACGCAGAGAAAGAGCUUGCCUGCCUCUGCAGACAUUCCUUGGACGAGUGGUUCUAAAUCCCAGCUACACACUCAAAUAGCUGCAGGAGGUUUAAAAACUGUCAAAUCUCCCAGCCCCUGCCCAGCCCAGUCAAUAUUUAUCUCAGGAGGAGGAGCCCUAAAACCAGUGUCUUUUCACAGAGCUCCCUACAUGACUUUGAUGUGUGGCCAGGUGAUAUCUCCUGAGUUCGGAGACACUGAUGCUAUCACUCACACCUAGUCAAAUGAGAGGAGUCGGGGAUGACAGAAGAAUGCAGGCAACUUACCUACCUGAAGCUGGGGCCUCAAGGUCACCAUGCCCUUGAGUGAGCCCUGUAUGGGUCUACCUUGUGUCUGAUGGUUCUCAGCAGGCACAGCUUCUCUUCAGGGCUUCUGCCGACAUCUUCCCUGCAUGUGGAAAAUGGCCUGGGGUCCCCUUAGACUCAGCUCAUGUCCUCCCCUUUGCUCAGGUUCCCUCUGAGUCCCGGUACCCGCCCAUGCUGCAGACCUCCUCAUGACUCCUUCCUCCCUGAGGCCUGGCCAUCUGCACACCCCCAUCCUAUCCUGUCAGCUUGUUUUUUGUCUCUUUGGUGACCAGACAUGAACCCCUCAAGGCUGUUCCCUCCACAUCCCCAGCGCUCAGUUUCAGGCCAGCCCAGGGCAGGAUGCACCUCGUGCAGACCAAGGGAAAGAGCCAGCAGCUGCUUCACAUGAGCCUGUCCUCUGCACCUGAAGAGAAUCUUUGGAAGGCCAGCGCCCCCACUUGUCCUGAAGGUGGAGGGGCUGUUCCCUCUAGCCCACACCUGUCAUUCUAGGACUAACUUUCACUUUUUGGAAGCCAGAGCCACUCCCGACCAUUCAGGGCCUUUCAGCAUUCGGAAGGGACAGUGACUCCUCCUUAGAUACCACAUGUAGGACAGGAGGGAAGUUCAAGAGUGGUGUCAAGGGCCAGAGACAGGGAAGCUGGGGGGUCUGAAAGAAGCUUCCAGGAGAUGUCUUCACUGCAAAAUACCAUACACCAAGGGGCUACAGGCUAAAACAAGACAUGUAUUUCUCACAGUUCUGGAGGUUGGGUGUUGGGGAUUAAGGUGCCAGCCAGCAUGGUGGGUCCCUGGUGAGGACUCUCUUCCUGGCUCACAGGUAGCCGACUUCUCACUGUGUCCUCACAUGUGGGAAAGAAAGCUCUGGUCUCUUCAUCCCCUCGUAAGGACUAAUCCCAUCAUGGAGGCACCACCUUCAUGACCCCAUCUAACCGUAAUUACCUUCUAAAGGCACCACCUCCCAUAAUAUCACCCUGGGGCUUGGGGCUUCAACAUAUGGAUUUGGGGGAACACAGACAUUCAGUCCAUAGCAAGGCACAUGGGGAAGUUGGAGCAUGAGAGCAGAGGAGACACCCACACAUCUCAGGAGAGCAGUCACGUGUUCGGAGGAUGUCAAGCCACGCUGAAGGCCCCUAGCCAUGCUGGGGAGAGCAUGCUCUAGCCAUGGAGUUGAAGAUGAGGUGGGAGUUGCCCUUGAGACCUUUCAUCUAGGACCUCCCAAGUUCCAUGAAGAGACAAGAGAAAACAGUAAGGGCACUGUAUUCAAGGGAAUGAGGGGUGAUGAGUCCCUCUUGGGUUCCUCAGUAAUGUCUUCCAGGACAGUCCAUUGAUUACACCUCUGCACCAGUCAGCGGACUUUUAGUGAGCCCUGGUAAUGUGCCAGAUGCUGUGCUGUGAGUGAGAUGUGCACAUUUCCUUCCUCGUGGAGCUCACACUCUCAUGGGGCAGACACACAAUCACACAAUCGCACACAUGUGCAGUGUGCAGAGCCUCCCUACAGGCUGGCCCGUGCCUUCCAGCUGCAUUCACCUGAUAGGAGGGCCAGCUGGAGACCAGAGGCUGGAGGCAGCCAGGGAGGAAUGUGGGCACUGGUUUUCUGACUCCCUGCCCGCUGCAUUCUCUGCAGCAGGCCCAGUUCCCGCCCAGCCCCCAUGCUGCACAAGGUUCUGAGAAUCACUCCUGCCCCCACUCCAUCAGGUCCCACUUAAGGUAGCUCCACUGGCUUAGAGGACCACCCCACCCCAGGGGCUUCACCUAAACCAGUCACACUUUGUAGACAGUCCCCUCAUUGAACUCUGAUCAAAUUACCCAAUUUAAAUAUACCAUCUGUUUCCCGCAGGGACUCUGACUGACCCAGUGACCUAGUCUAGGAGGUUAGGGAGUCUUCUGAGAAAAGGAUGCUUGAGCUGAACUCUGAAGGAUUAAAUUCUCACUGCUUUUAAUAGUAGGAUCCAACAUGUGUGUUUAGUCAGUAGUGGGGGUCCUGGUAAGCUUGAGCCUGCAGUGAGGGGUGCUGCAGGGGACACAGGCGAACCCAUGAAGCCCCUCACCCCACCUCUUAGCCAUGCCUGGCCAGGGAGGGCAUCCCUAGACCCAGGCUCAGCUAUAAGAAAGAGCAAGAACCAACAAACAUUUCUUAAGCACCACUCCGGGGCCAGGCCGUGUGCUGGGCCUGAACGCUUCUCAUAGGUGACGUGGAGACCUGGGGGUGGCUGCCAUCUGGUGCUCUGGGUUUUGAGGGGUGCUCUCUGAAAGACCAAGCUGAGCAGCAGGAGGCCCAGAAAUGGGGGCUCCCAUUAGACAUUGUGGCCAGUCUCACAGCACAGCCAGAAGGGCCAGCACUGCAGGGAGGGGAGCAGAGGGGAGGAUGUGCUCUUUGGCCAGGCGAAAGCCUGGUCCCCAGGACUGAGGUCCUAGAGAAUCAGGGAUGCAGGAGAAUGAUGAAGAGAGAGGUCUCAAGGCCAAAGACAAUAAGGUGAACUGUCAGAAAGUCUGGGAGAAAGAUGAUUUGAGGGUGACCCGAGAGGCUUGCUGUCAAAUGUCCCAAGAUCGGACAGUCGAGCAAGGCAGCAUGAUGGAAGGAAUCUAGCCCUGUCCAUCCACAUAAGCCCAAUUGCAAGUGCACUGUUGGAGUCAUGAAAAAUGUAAUGUCUAGUUCUGGUGUGAGCAGGGCCACUCUCUUCCAAAGAUACUCCCAUGGGAACAGAAAAAAAGGGUAGAAGCCCGAAGAGCCAUAAAAGGCAGCAAGGUCAGGAAGCCACCAGAAUGUCAGUGAGAUGUUUAAUUUUGAAAAUCAAUUAAUGUAAUGUGUCAUAUCAACAGAUCGAAGGGAGAAAGUCCAUGCUCAGGUUUAUAGAUGCAAAGAUCUGUUUGAUAAAAUUCAACAUCCACUCAUGACUUAAUAAAGAAACAAAACCUAUGGCAAAUCACAUGUAAAAGUGUUUAAGAUAUUCCCUUUAAUAUCAGAAAAGUGGCAAGAAUGCCUUCUUUUAUCUUUUCAAUGCUGUAAUGCAUUAAAGGGCUUAGGCAGUGCAAUAAGAAGAAAAAAGAAAUAAAAGAGAGAUUGGAAAGCAAUAAUCAAAGCUGUCAUUAUUUGAGGCAGAUAGAUAAUUGAAAGUACCUCUGAUUGGUUGCAGCAGACAAUCAGAUGUUUGCAUAGAGUAAGUUUGUAACUUCAGCCUCUGGUUGCUUUCCAAAACAAUUAGACUGAUUGCCGGCCACCACUUCAUUUACAUGGGGUGAACACCAAGUGGCCAAUGGGAAACCUCUAGGGGAUAUUUGGACCCCGGAAGAUACUGUAACCGAGGCCCUUGAGCUGCUGCUCUGGCCCACUCCCACCCUGUGGCAUGUACUUUCAUUUUCAAUAAAUUUCUACUUUUGCUGCUUCAGUCUUUCCUUGCUUUGCUGUGUGUUUUGUUCAAUUCUUUGUUCAAAACACCAAGAACCUAGACAACUUGCAGUCGAUACCCUCUACAGUUAACAAGCUGGGGAAUGCUCCUUCCAGGGUCCCAAGGUCCUUGCCUGGCUGAGCUUCUGGUGGCUGCCAGCAUUCCUCGGCUUGUGGCCGCAUCACUCCAUUCUCCAUCUCCAUGGUCACAUCACUUCUUUUCUGUCUGUUUUCAGCCUCCCUCUGCCUCUCUUAUAAAGACAUUUGUGAUGCAUUUAGGGCAUACCUGGUUACUACAGGAUAAUCCCCCUUAUCAAACUCCUUAACCUAAUCACAUCUGGAAUACAUUGUUUUUGCCUAGAAAUUCAUAUUCACAGGUUGCAGGGGUUAGGACCUUCUCAGGCACCAAAUGAUAAGAAAUCAUCUUUCUGAGUAACCCACAUGGAGUGGCC